rnacentral:rRNA from 1 species
AUUGAACGCUGGCGGCAUGCCUUACACAUGCAAAUCGAACGGUAACGGGCCUUCGGGUGCCGACGAGUGGCGAACGGGUGAGUAAUACAUCGGAACGUGCCCGAUCGUGGGGGAUAACGAGGCGAAAGCUUUGCUAAUACCGCAUACGAUCUACGGAUGAAAGCAGGGGACCGCAAGGCCUUGCGCGGACGGAGCGGCCGAUGGCCGAUUAGGUAGUUGGUGUGAUAAAAGCUUACCAAGCCGACGAUCUGUAGCUGGUCUGAGAGGAUGAUCAGCCACACUGGGACUGAGACACGGCCCAGACUCCUACGGGAGGCAGCAGUGGGGAAUUUUGGACAAUGGGCGCAAGCCUGAUCCAGCCAUGCCGCGUGCAGGAUGAAGGCCUUCGGGUUGUAAACUGAUUUUGUACGGAACGAAAAGCCUUCUUUUAAUACAGGAGGGUCAUGACGGUACCGUAAGAAUAAGCACCGGCUAACUACGUG